rnacentral:tmRNA from 1 species
GGGGAUGUUCUGGUUUCGAUUCGGAAGAUAGGUCAUUAGCUGCAGUGGUCUGGUAGACCAUAAUACCAAACAAAAAUAAAUGACAAAGAAGUCAAACCAUGGAUGUUGAACAAUGUUCGUACAUCCGUUGCUCUUGCUUAAUUUAGCCUUAUAAGAGCACGUUCAUUAAUUAGUGUUCACUCCGCUAGUUAUUGAAUGUUAGAUUAAGAGUGAUAAGUACGAAAGUGUUAGCUUAUACUUAGUAACGAAAACCUUAAAGCUACUAUACAUAUGCUUAGGGACAGUUCCUUGAUUAUGUAUUAAGAUAUGAAUUGUCAUAAACUGUAGGCGCUAUUGGGGGAUCUUUCGAAGACAGGAGUUCGAUUCUCCUCAUCUCCACCA